CCAGCCUUGAUAUGAUGGGAUGGAAUUACUUAGAUGUCAAUCCCUAUGUGAAAACAUCAGCAAGUUGAUCUUCUGAAGUGACGAAAGGAGUGCAGAUCAAGCCUUCUUCAAGUUUCUCUUUGAUGAAGUGUCUAUCAAUUUCAAUGUGUUGGGUCCUAUUGUGCUAAACUGGAUUCUGGGUUAAACUGAUUGCAGAUUUAUUGUCACAGUAAAGAUGCAUAGGUCCCUAAUGAGUCACUCCUAAAUCAGCAAGUAAUACUUUGAGACAAAUGAGUUCACAGACACCUUGUGUCAUUGCUCUGUACUUGGCUUCUGCA